AUGGCCUUACCUUCAGAAACAACUUAUUGACUUCUGUACUCAAUAGUGGACAUAACAAUUUGUCCGCUGCGUGUUUUGGUAUACAUGAAGUAGCUAGGCAAAAUAAUAUUCAUGAUUAUAAAAUAAGUGAGAUAUUGCGCACUCUCAUUGGUCAAAUUAUAGGCCAGGGCGCAUUCCGCAGAAAUUCCAUGCGGAAGAUACUCGAGGCUUUUCAAAUUCCACACCAUGUACCUGGCAAGUGGCCAAGGACCCAUGCCAAAGAAUACUAUUUAAAAACGCCAAACCAACAUAGAUGGGAAAAUUUGGCUCAAAUGGAACAUACAAGAUGCCUGUUAUCGGCCAGGAUAUGGGGUAUAAAGAGAAGUUAAGAAGCCAUAGUUAUUGUGCCAAUUCUCCUUGCGUAGCUUAGUGUUUAUACACCAGCACCAACAAAUAUAAAUGUCCAUAUGCCAAAAACUCUUAACUGCAUGCAGGUACACCACAGAAAUUUUUAGGCCACACCAAAGAUCUUCAGCUUAACCUACACUGAAUGCACCCUGGUCAAUAGGUGGUGUUUAAUAGAUGAGGGUUAGGUUUACAAACAUGGCUGUGACAUUUUAGAUUUGCAAGUAUUUUUGAGGAAUAUUUUAUAAAAGCACUUGUCCAGGAGUACUUUUUCUGUGUAUAUAUAGCCUCAUCUAAACACUUUUGGGGGCUGGGAGAAUUUUCGAAAGUUAUGCAAAACCUUGAUUUGUAACUGUUUUUAAUUCUCGGAACCCCCCUCAUGUUUGUGUAUGUACAUGUAAACAUGGAAAGUGCUCUGAUGCUCAAUUCAGUAAUAAUUAGAUUACUUAAAUGCUUGUAAACAUUAUCAAACAUUUCCCCCUUCAAACUUAUUGAAAAUAAGGGCUUGAAAAAGCCUUCUCAAGAAAAUCAACAAACUUAACACUUUCAGAAAUGUAUCUUUGUUAGUGGAGUGAAUAAUAAAUUCUGAGUUUUAGAGUGCAAAAUUUUCAGCAAAUACAUGUACUCUGCUGUUGUGAUCAUGUCCAAUUUAUUUGGCCCAGAUCUCCAAUAUCACUGGCAAGAAUGCAUUACAUGUAUAUAUUAAGUACUGCAUAAAAUUCUUCUGUUGACAGUUUGACGAUGAUUUAUGAUGAUGGAGCAAGUCUUAAGGAUUAGGAAAAAGCAAUUCUACUUCAUUGUAUUAGUUUCUGGGUCAUUUUAUUGACUGACAAAGAUGGUCAGGAUAAAUUCAUUAAAGGAGGAUUGAAACAGAGUCUAGACUCUAUUGUGGCAAUGAUUCGAAGACAAAGUUCACUGGAAUCACCAAAGAGCGAAGCAAGGCAAAGCAGAUUGUAAUAAAGUCGCUUUUAGUGGAAAAAGUCCGGGAAAAAUUGUGCUUUUUCAAGUGGUCGAGGAAAACGUCUACAAAAUUUUCUUAGAUUUAACUCUUGAAAGCGAACAAGAAAGAGGUCGGGAAACUUGUUUCGGUUUAAAAAUUUGCGUUUUCAAAGCCACUGGGAAAAUCGUGGAAAGAAAAAAAGCUAAGUCUUUUGGCGGGAAAAUUUUUCUUGAUUAAAAACAUUGUGCUUUUAAAAGGAACCAAAAAAGUUGGAAGAAGAACUAAGUCUUUUGGCGGGAAAAUUGUUCUUAGAAAAAAAAAGUCUGCGCUUUUGAAUGGUGUCAUGUUUUGAGUCAAAAAUAUACAAGUCCUUUGGCGGGAAAAAUAUUGCCUUGUGCAACGGAUUUCUCCCAUCAAAAGUCAAAGUAUAUGCUUGAUUUCUGGCUAGACUCUGUUCAAAAGUGCAGAUUAUUUUUUUUCAUUUUGGCAACCCUACAUAGUUAAAAUAUAGUAAAAGAGAUAGCCUACAUUCCGACUAGUUUC
rnacentral:lncRNA from 1 species